UUCAAUGACCUUCCUGUCCCAUAGGAGUUCUCAGGCAGCUUCAAUGGAAGGAGGGAGCCAAGAAGGGGGCCUGGUAUACAUUCAAAGAUGAUAAUUACGACAUGGAUUGUGUAUAUUCUUGCUCGGAAAGGUGUAGGGCUUCCCUUCCUACCAAUAACCAGUUCGGACAUUGACGUUGUGGAAAGCGAGGCUGUGUCUGUACUACAUCAUUGGUUGAAAAAAACAGAAGAAGAGGCUUCUCGGGGCAUAAAGGAAAAGCUGUCCAUCAACCACCCUUCCCAGGGUGUAAGGGAGAAGACGUCCACUGACUCCCCUCCCACCCACGGCCAGGACAUCCACGUGAGCAGAGAUGUGGUGAAGCACCACCUCUCUAAGUCUGAUUUGUUGGCAAACCAGAGCCAAGAGGUCCUAGAGGAGAGAACACGAAUCCAGUUCAUAAGAUGGAGCCACACUCGUAUCUUCCAAGUGCCAAGUGAGAUGACAGAGGACAUCAUGCGAGAUCGAAUAGAGCAGCAUAUCCCGUCUUACAGAUGUGUCAGCUCAGGACUUCAGUAUGAGACCCUCCUCCUCAGACUGCUGAGAGCAACAGGUGGAAGUCCUUCAGGGUCCAGCAGCAACCUGUAUCAGAAGAACAUCCUUCUCUGCUUGACCUGAAGAAGGGCCAGACCUGGGCAGAAAGACUCCAGCAGGGAAAGGCUGCUGCCAAAAGUGGAGGACUUAAAGCUGGAGGCCGCCCCAAAGACGGGGAAAUGAAGAAAACGCUGUUUCUGGAGCUCCCUGAGGACAAGGGGAGCAGCUUCUGUUCUCAGAAUCCCUGAGCUGCGCUCCUCUGGAGUGUCACCCCCAGGCUGGAGGAGAUGGCUGUGUCAGUUUCCCAUUGCUGCUCUAACAAAGCGUGCAGAUUCUGCAACUCAGAACCAGAGACGUCCGUUGCCCCACAGCUCCAGAGACUGGAAGUAUGGGAUCAAGCAGACACAUGAGCAGAACCCAGGAUGGAAGAAUGUAAUCACCAGCGUGACUCCAGUGAUGGAGAUGAACUAGAUGUGGAGACUGGGGAGCAGCAGAGUCAACUCAGUUAUCAUCUUGGCGGCCGGGCUGCCGUCCAGCUCACAGAAGCCACCUGAUCCGGAAAAGAUUUCCAACGCCUGCUGGAGUAAGUUUGGCAGUAAGUUGUUAUUGCAUCUGGCCUCCUACCUACAAAAACUACCCCGAUAGAAAGGUGAUCCUGUGUGAUGAGUUACCCUGUCCUCCUGUGACUGCUCUCUAUGUCAUGUUUUCAGAGUAGCCCUCCCAGUCAGGAGAGCAAAGUCACAUUCCAUCUGGGGACAUCUGAGAGGAGAUGCAGAAGCUAGUAGCUGAUUUUCCUCCCCUGCUCCUUCCCUUGAAUAAACACACUUGAUGCAUACUGG